ensembl:lncRNA
CCUGCCUUUGCCUCCCAAAGUCCUGGGAUCGCAGUCAUGAGCCACUGCAUCUGGCCAGGGUGAGAAUAUUUUUGGAGAGCUUUGAAAGCAGAUAGAAAAGACAGAGGAUGGAAUUAUUAGACCAAGAGAGACUAAGGAGUGGAGGUAGAAGAGAUGCAAGAAAACACAUGGACGUCUCCUAUGGGGAAGAGGUGAUAGGCAACUCCAGGGCCUCCACCCAGAGCUCCUGCUGAUUUCAAUGAAGUGGAUGUUUUAUGGAAGACUCUAGCCAUGCUCGGAUCCUGCUUGAAGUGCCUGCCAGCUGGAGAGGACAGGGACAAGGGCGUAACUUGCAGGCAUCCCCCUUCCUCUGCUGACUGCUCUCCAGCUAUGGGCAGUGAUGGCCAUUGACCGUGCCAUCUCCAGGACGGGGAUCAAUCUGGUCAAUCGACCAAAUGUCCUGGCUUAGAGGAUACGGUGCAGUGGGGAUGGUCACCUUCCUGUGCAGUGGUUUAAUGCUUGUUCUCCUUCUCAUCCAGAAUCAGCCAGGUGUCCUGGAGGGCCUGAGAGGGACCAGGGUGAUGAUGGGAUCCGGAGAAGAAAGUCAGAUUGGAGCAUGUGUUCCUGAUGUGGCCCCGUUACACUCCCUCAGGUGUAUCCAACCACAGAGAGUGUCCUUCUGCAGCAGCUACCACCAGAGUCUCUACAGCCACAUCUCUCAGAGCCGCAGUCACUUCAUUGAUAAACUUCAGGGGGCUGAACUGGAUACUCUUUUCAGGUGCUUUUCAGUUCCUCUAUCAAUCAUUCCAAGACACAAUUAUGUUGGAAUUAUUUUCCUGCAAGUUUCAUAAUCAAAAUUUGCUCCUUUUAGACUCUCAUUAUUUAAUUAUCAACAGAUCAUCCACAAUGGCCUCAGUCUACUUGAGCCCAGAAUUUCUUUUAUCAAUAUUUGCCUUGGGAUAAAGGACCUUUUCCAUUUCUAAAAUAGCCUUAGGACCCCAAUGACACUUGGAGAGGCACCCAAGUAGCCAGCCAACCUCCUUAUUUAGGGUACAAUAGUGGGAUCUUGUUGAAAGUAUCUCUGCUCAAAUUUAAUAGGAUGAUUUCGUGUUGCCUUUUUUUUUUUUCUUUAUCUAUUUCUUCUUGCAGAAAAUGUUAACUUCCUUCUCUGGUCCACUGUAAACAUUAUGUUAAGAAAUGUUGUUUGAUGAGUGACCAGGUAUGGGAAUGAGAGAUGGGUUUUAUGGUCAAUAGUAACUCACAUAGUAAAAGUCACACUCCAGCUAAGAAGAGAGAAAUGACUGUAUUUGAAAGAAAGACAGUUUCCUACAGGGAAGCUGUUUUAGAGGCGAUGGAAAGCUAAGAAACCAAAAGGUGCCGAUAGGUUCCCUAGCAGUUAGUAACAGUAGAAAGCUUGGGUUGGAGGGAUGGAGUAAGGAGGUGUUGGUUCAAAGCCUGAGGCUUGGCCACGGAGAUAGCACUGCUGUUGAAUGCCACAUGCAGUGACUAUUUUCUGCUGGUCAACGGAGCCAGAGGCCAGCUGAGAGAGGGGAACUGUGGAGAUGCAGCUGUAGGGACCAGUUGCCCCAUGAUAUAGACCAGAGCAGGGAAAACAUUAGGAAUGGGUGCAGAGCAAAUGUGUCCAGGGCCAUGAGAUGCAUAAAUACAUUACCCUGGUUUGGAAAUGAUUGCUUCUCAUUUCAGUGAAAUGGUGACAAUUUCAGUGUGGUAGAGAAAAAUAACUCUUUAAAAUGCCUUAAAAGGAGUUUUAUAGAUGAAUUAACUGAGACUUGAGGAGUCAGGAUCCUGGUUAAAAACCUCUAUGUGACUUUUCAGACCCAACCGUAGGCAAUGGCAGACGUCUGUCUGGCAGGCCUGCUGGGGAAUCUGCCCUCCCCACAUUGGGCUUGGUGUGUG